UGAUGUGAGGGUGAUCUGGCUGCUAAAUCUACCACACCACUGAUAGCCAGGGUGGAAACUCUGAUUUUGCUAGCUGAGUUUGUGUAACCUCCUCCCUCACCACACCUUGUGCAUUCCUCCUGAAGCUGAGCUGGUUGAAGAAGAGCACAUCCUCCUUCAAGAGGACAGGAGUAGAACC
rnacentral:snRNA from 1 species